rnacentral:snRNA from 1 species
AUAAAGCCUUAGUAUGGAGCUAAGAUCAAGUGUAGUAUCUGCUCUUAUCAGUUUAAUAUCUGAUACAAAAUAUUAUAUUUUUUUAAGGCCAGGCUGGAUGGGGCUUUGAGCAACCUGGUCUAGUGGGAGGUGUCCCUGCCCAUGGCAGGGGGGUUGGAACUCAAUGAUCUUUAAGGUCCCUUCCAACUCUA